rnacentral:rRNA from 1 species
UACGAAGGGGGUUAGCGUUGCUCGGAAUCACUGGGCGUAAAGCGCACGUAGGCGGGUCCUUAAGUCAGGGGUGAAAUCCCGGAGCUCAACUCCGGAACUGCCUUUGAUACUGGGGAUCUUGAGUCCGGAAGAGGUGAGUGGAACUCCGAGUGUAGAGGUGAAAUUCGUAGAUAUUCGGAAGAACACCAGUGGCGAAGGCGGCUCACUGGUCCGGUUCUGACGCUGAGGCGCGAAAGCGUGGGGAGCAAACAGG